UAUGGUCGAGAAUAGGCAGUGGGCUGUAGACCCACGUACAGGGCGCAACCCCUUACUAUCA
rnacentral:tRNA from 1 species